rnacentral:lncRNA from 1 species
CUGAAUUCCGCUUCAUUUUUGCAUCUCAAUGAUAUAUUAUUUUCUCUGUCAAAAUCUAUAUAACAAAAUGUACAUGCUUCGCAUUGGAUUUGUCCUAGAAGUUUUCCUGGUUCUGCUAAAACAAGUAAAUAUUGCUUUGGAAUCAAAUUCUCAUGUAACAGAAGUGAAACUUCAAUCUUGCUAUCUUUUAUUUUUUGUGUGCUGAAGAAUAUGAAGACAAAAGCAGAAAGCUAGGCAGGUGUAUGCCACAGCCUUGUUGCAUUUACAUUAAAGAAGUGCUUUUUAAUUUAUUUCAUUCAGUUUCACUGCAGUCUUGCAAGUAGCAUUGUCUGGUAAAGAUUUGAUUGUGAUUUUCUUUCUCUUGCCAAAAUUACAUAUCUAUGCAUAGCCAUUGACUUAGAAGCUUAAUAAUUCGUAUAUACCUAACAAAAUCUGCUUCUUGUAUACUUGGUUGACAUUAUUUCAUUUGCAAGAUAGUCUGUUGGCCCCAGUGGCUGUGAUGUUGCUUUUUAUUUCUUCAACCGUAUAGUUGGCAUCCAUGAGCCUGGGAAAAGUCUUUAAACAUUCAUGAUUGCCACCAUUGUGUCUAUUUUAUUCCAAAAGUUCCAUUUUGUUUACACAUUCUGGUCCUUGUCAGUAGUGCUGUGAGCUCUGCUUCUAAAUUGGAGAAGAUUUCAAUUUUGAGAAGGUAAAUAAUGCUCUUCCUUAAAGAUUUCUUAAAACUCCUCCAGCUGCUGUUCCUUGUUGCAUCCGUCAGUAUUUAGUUUCACUGUCUCCAUCUUUGGCUUUAUUGGUUUCAAAUUGAGGAUUUCUAUUGCUAGUUACAUUCCAUGUUGUUUAGCCAGUGUGAUUACUUCCAGUUUUUUGGUUUAAAGAGGUUUGAUUUGCUCAGGAACUGAAGUAUAUUUUUCACCAGCUGUAAUAUUCUCCUCUCGUCGAUGGACAGCUCUCUGUAUUUGGAUCAUUAUUUAUAAUCAAAAUGAACCACGUAAUGAAAAUUAGGAAGAUGGUAUAAUAUGAAAACCAAACAAAGUAGGACGUUGUUGCUUUGGAGUUUGGACUUUGAAGUGCAUCCAUUGUAUGAAGCACAACUUCUCACUUUUUUUUACUAAAUGCUCUUCUUUAACUAAAUCAGUUGUUUCAUGUUUAGAUAUACUAUAUCGUUCCUUUUAGUUCAUAUACUACCUCAAGGGGUUGUUAAAGAGUGAAAAGUUAUUCUCAAUGAUAUGUGAUCAAGUAUUGGAAAUUUGAAGUGCACUGCAUAUGAUUUUUGUAGGUCUGAGAUGAAGUGAGGUGAGAUUUUCUGCUUCCAGUGUGUAAGUUACAAGUUCCGAAAGGGUAGAUGUUGUCAUAAGACUCUGUGUUAAUCUCAACGCUCGAGCCAAAGGUAGUUAUCCAGCCUAUAACUUUUUGAUAAGUGAAUUGUUUGAAGCAGAAGUUCUUUUAUGUCAUCCAGCUAAAGCAAAAAUAGCAGUCUUCAAGAGCCCGCAGCAUGUUUUAAUAAUGCAAUUUUAUAUCUUAACCUUGUAAGAGUUAUUCUAAAGAUUGUAUAAUUUUGCUAAAGCUGCACCUUUGUUCUGAAAAACAUCGAGCCAUUGAGAGUUCCGGGAAUGUUUUGAUAUUGCAAGAGUAUACCACAACCUCGUAUGAGUUAUGCUAAAGAUUGCAUCAUUUGCUAAAGCUGCACAUUUCUUUUAACUUAUUUUGCUUGUAUAGAAAUUAGGCCUACUGAUUUUUGCAUUUGGUCAAAGGUACUCUCUCAUCAGAUUAUAGUAUGGUCAGCCCUUCAAUACUAUUGCCUUGAUGUUAUUACUAUUGCCAUGAAUGGCAAGUAAUUCUACAUAUUACCCUGUUAAAUUUUUAUUGCUCUCCAAAAUAUUUUUGCAUGCAGCUGCAAUAAAGAAUCAACUGAAUUGCUCGAAUGAUUAAUUGAUUCUAUUCCCAUAGAUUUCCCUAGUCUCAAAUCUCUUACUUGUAGGAUCAGCAGGUGCAGUGGCAUUAUCAUUGCAAAUUCAAUAGUAUCUUCUUCAAUAUUUCUAUGAUAAUGUCAUCAAAUUCUAUGCUUACUAUUCUGUGUACCAUCUUAGAUGAAAAUUCUUUUCCUUAAUGACCUGCGGGACAUUAAGCUUGUUUGCCUUUCAUUAUAAUCUCAAAUUUAAUUUUAACCAUUCAUUCGUAGGAGCCACAACAACCACCCUCUUAUCCACCACUCAUUUUUAUCACAUUUUAACUUCAACAACCUAUAAUGAAACCAAAACAAGAACUUAGGUCAAGAUUCUCGAUGGUGUUUCUGGACCGGCAAAUAUUGUGCCACAAAACCUUUGAAUUGCAGCAGAUAUUGCUGUUACUGGAUGGUAAAAUGAAUUGUGAAUGUGAGCAUUGUUUAACUGGUUUGUUGUGUUGACUGGUGAAGUUAACAUAAGCCAAGCAUUUAUUUUCAAGUUCAGAUGAUACAAGAUUUGAUCUUGAAGAGUUCAUAACAAAUUGAUGAUGAUGUUUAAGACAUGGGAUUGUAAUAUUUCUAAGAUAGCAUUUCAUGUAAUUUAAACUACAGAAAGGUCUGGCAUUCACCUUGUGCAAUAUUCCGUUAAGCUGACCUUCGUGGAAUAUGAACAUGUAAUCAUGUUAGAUUGCAUCUCCUAGAUACUGAUUUUCACGGUUGCUUACUGUUGAAUUUUUUGCGCAAUAUUAAAUAGAUGAAAACGAAAAUCAACACAAGAAUUUUACGUGGUUCGACGGUGUGCCGACGUCCACGAGAGCGAAGCGGGUUCGAUGCGCUCCGCUCCUCUCACUCCACUCCGCUCCGCGCCGGCAUCUGCUCAUUUGAUCUAGGGCCUGUGUUCCACUUUAUAUGAGCCACAUGCACAACACUUACCCUCGAGCUGAAAAUUUCUACUAUUUUCAUUUGUAGUGACUUUCAUUUCAGUGGAAAGAUAUCUGGACAUUAUAACUUUUUGCACUCACUUUCCUUUGGAUUGACACGUUUUACGAAGGUGGUUUUGCAAUGCGAGUGUCAUUCCAUGCCUCCGAAGGAGCUUUGCUUCGCUUCUGGUUGUUCAUCUCGUGUGCAUCUUAAUCUCUUCAAAGUAUUUUUGUAGAGGCACAUCUGUCAGUGUCAAUAAUUUUUAUUUUACAUAGUUACAUGUUUCCAUUACAUAAGUUGGAAAUUUUGUGAAGGUUAGAUGUUUUUAUUUUGAUUCUCUUCCUGCUUUUUUCUAUGAAGUAUUAUUAUUGUGAAAUGGCUCCAAAUGCAGUUAAUAGAUAAAACAACCUCAGUUUAUAGCUGCUAGAAUAUCUCUUCUGAUGUCAGUGUAAUUGAAUUUAAAUCCGAAUUUAUAGUUAAAUCUUAGGCAAUCCUCCACAUUCAUGGUUUUUAUGAUGUAAAAAAUCAAUCAGAAAAUUGAAGGACUUGUAUGGUUAUUUGAUUAGAAUCAAGACAGUAGAUUAUCUUUUGCUUUCUUCUUUUUUGUCGAAGGUGUAAUGGAGUUAGAGUUAGACUUGGAGAAGUGGCUAAGAAAUUGACGGCACCCAACCUUGAGAGCUCCCACCGUCCCACCCCUAAAGAUUUGUGAGGGAGGUAAAUCGCGGAAUGUGUCUCAGCAGGUCAGGGAACAAAAGCUGUUUGUACACUGCAUCUAUAAAGAGUCCAAUUCCACUUCUCAGGAAUCGAACCCCCACACUGCGACUGCUAGCAAGGCGUGAGAUAACUUCACUCCUGUUUUUUGCAACAUUGGGCUAUGUCUCGGGGGGCGACAACACUACUAUCUAUCCAUACACACAGUAGUAAUUGACCAGAAUGCAAUUUCCGCUUCAAUUUGAAUUUUUUUUUUUUUUUUUUUUUUGGGUUUCAAACUGAUUUGUAGGAUUUAUUUAUUUAUUUAUUUUUAUUUUUUUCAACAUUCUAUCUGACUUUGGAAUUUGGAAUUUUGCUUCAUUAAAAACUUAAACUACAAACAGUUUACAGUCGUUGUUGUGAUGUAAG